rnacentral:rRNA from 1 species
CAGUCGCCACGGGAAUACGUAGGGUGCAAGCGUUAAUCGGAAUUACUGGGCGUAAAGCGUGCGCAGGCGGUUCGCUAAGACAGAUGUGAAAUCCCCGGGCUUAACCUGGGAACUGCGCUUGUGACUGCACAGCUAGAGUAUGGCAGAGGGGGGUGGAAUUCCACGUGUAGCAGUGAAAUGCGUAGAGAUGUGGAGGAACACCGAUGGCGAAGGCAGCCCCCUGGGCCAAUACUGACGCUCAUGCACGAAAGCGUGGGGAGCAAACAGGAUUAGAUACCCCCGUAGUCCCUGUCUCUUAUAC